CCUACGGGAGGCAGCAGUAAGGGAUAUUGGUCAAUGGGGGAAACCCUGAACCAGCAACGCCGCGUGAGGGAAGACGGUUUUCGGAUUGUAAACCUCUGUCCUCUGUGAAGAUGAUGACGGUAGCAGAGGAGGAAGCUCCGGCUAACUACGUGCCAGAAGCCGCGGUAAUACGUAGGGAGCGAGCGUUGUCCGGAUUUACUGGGUGUAAAGGGUGCGUAGGCGGCUUGGCAAGUCAGUAGUGAAAUCCAUGGGCUUAACCCAUGAGCUGCUGUUGAAACUGUCGAGCUUGAGUGAGGUAGAGGUAGGCGGAAUUCCCGGUGUAGCGGUGAAAUGCGUAGAGAUCGGGAGGAACACCAAUGGCGAAGGCAGCCUGCUGAGGUUUAACUGACGCUGAGGCACGAAAGCGUGGGUAGCGAACAGGAUUAGAUACCCGGGUAGUC
rnacentral:rRNA from 1 species